UGGAGCAAGAAAGAGACUAGAGUAUAAUUGUACAGAAAAAUUAAAGGUAGUUUCAAAUUGUUUAACAAGGUAGCUUAAAAAACAAAUAGAAUAUUAGGAAAAGACAAGAGUAAGUUCAAUUCUGGAUAUGCUGAUUUUGAUAUGAAAAUAGACAAUCCUUGUGAAUAUGUCCUUUGGCAAUUGGAAAUAUGGGAGGAGAAAGUAGACGAAAGAUUAGAACUGAAGAUGUACCUGUACAACUCUAUACCCUCAUUCUAGGGGAAAAGAUUAUUACUGCAAGGAUUAGGGUAGGAAGAAAGCAGCAGAGGGCUUAGGGUCUUUGGAGACAUGCAUGAUUAGACAGUUGAAGAAGGAAGAUGCAGAGUUAUUCACAGAGGAAGAGGAGAGUCAAGACAGUGCAAUCACGAAGGAUUGUUGAAGUUUGGCUAAAGUCAGUUGUCAAUAUCUGGAGGGAUUCGAAUUGGGUCCUGGGUACCUCUGCUAUAUGGUCACAUGAAGAGGAAAUAACUAAGGGAAACUGAGUUGUGAAAAGAAGAUAAAGAUUUCUUUCACAUAUAACAAAACUUGUGGAGAGCAUCUUUUUCUAUUCAUCUUUUCUUUGCAGAGUACUUUUUUUCUCUGUUAUAAUUAGAUAUAUUUCCAGCUCCCUUCACACCAAGACAAGCACAGACCUACUUACUAUGGCCUGAAGACAGGUCUUUUACAAAAAGAACUGCGAAGCACAGAGAGCAGAGCAGAAUUGAGAAAUUUAAAAGAAGAAGGAAGGAGAGGAGGAAAAGGCAGAACAGAAGAGAUGAAAGGAGGCAGG
rnacentral:lncRNA from 1 species